rnacentral:rRNA from 1 species
UGGGGAAUAUUGCACAAUGGGCGCAAGCCUGAUGCAGCCAUGCCGCGUGUGUGAAGAAGGCCUUCGGGUUGUAAAGCACUUUCAGCGGGGAGGACGGCGGUGAGGUUAAUAACCUCAUCGAUUGACGUUACCCGCAGAAGAAGCACCGGCUAACUCCGUGCCAGCAGCCGCGGUAAUACGGAGGGUGCAAGCGUUAAUCGGAAUUACUGGGCGUAAAGCGCACGCAGGCGGUCUGUCAAGUCGGAUGUGAAAUCCCCGGGCUCAACCUGGGAAAUGCAUUCGAAACUGGCAGGCUAGAGUCUUGUAGAGGGGGGUAGAAUUCCAGGUGUAGCGGUGAAAUGCGUAGAGAUCUGGAGGAAUACCGGUGGCGAAGGCGGCCCCCUGGACAAAGACUGACGCUCAGGUGCGAAAGCGUGGGGAGCAAACAGG